UGAUAGUCCAUGAAGUGACGUGCCCAGAGU
rnacentral:piRNA from 1 species